AUUACACCAAGUUAGCCUCUGCAUUGUCGAGCAUUCAAGGUGCUGCAGUCAGCAUCGCGAUGGGCGACUGGACGGCCUUA
rnacentral:sRNA from 1 species